rnacentral:rRNA from 1 species
UCCUGGUGGCGAGUGGCGAACGGGUGAGUAAUAUAUCGGAACGUGCCCAGUCGUGGGGGAUAACGCAGCGAAAGCUGUGCUAAUACCGCAUACGAUCUCAGGAUGAAAGCGGGGGACUCGCAAGGGCCUCGCGCGAUUGGAGCGGCCGAUAUCAGAUUAGCUAGUUGGUGGGGUAAAAGCCCACCAAGGCGACGAUCUGUAGCUGGUCUGAGAGGACGACCAGCCACACUGGAACUGAGACACGGUCCAGACUCCUACGGGAGGCAGCAGUGGGGAAUUUUGGACAAUGGGCGCAAGCCUGAUCCAGCAAUGCCGCGUGCAGGAUGAAGGCCUUCGGGUUGUAAACUGCUUUUGUACGGAACGAAACGGUCUGCCUUAAUACGGUGGGCUAAUGACGGUACCGUAAGAAUAAGCACCGGCUAACUACGUGCCAGCAGCCGCGGUAAUACGUAGGGUGCGAGCGUUAAUCGGAAUUACUGGGCGUAAAGCGUGCGCAGGCGGUUAUAUAAGACAGAUGUGAAAUCCCCGGGCUCAACCUGGGACCUGCAUUUGUGACUGUAUAGCUAGAGUACGGUAGAGGGGGAUGGAAUUCCGCGUGUAGCAGUGAAAUGCGUAGAUAUGCGGAGGAACACCGAUGGCGAAGGCAAUCCCCUGGACCUGUACUGACGCUCAUGCACGAAAGCGUGGGGAGCAAACAGGAUUAGAUACCCUGGUAGUCCACGCCCCAAACGAUGUCAACUGGUUGUUGGGUCUUCACUGACUCAGUAACGAAGCUAACGCG